CGCUCGGGCAUUGGCCGCCCUGGGUGCUGCUCGGGUGCGCAGGGGCCUGCGCGCGGUUGGGCAUGCGCGCGCAGGGUUGCGCGUGGCUGGGUGUCGGCCUCAUGGCUGCGCGCGGGCGGGCGCGUGGGUUGGAUGCCGCACACGGACGGCCGUGCGUGCUGGAGGUUGCGCGCAGGUGGGCGCGCGGGCUGGAGGCCGCGCGUGGCUGCGCGCUGGUCGUGCCUCUGCGGUGGGUGUGCGCAGUGGGCUGCACGUGCCAUGGGUUGCCUGGGCGCGCGGUUGGCCGCGCGCUGCUGCAGUGGGCGCAGAACCUUGCGCAGGCGCUGGGCAUGGCCUGCGCGGGGCUGCGCCGGUGUUUGGCAUGGUCGGCCACUGCUUGGGCAGACCUCCAAGCAGUGCAUUUGGCCCGGGCGUUGGUCUUGGCGGAGGUUGGCCUUGGCCAAACUUUUGAAAUUUUGGCUUGGCGGCCUAAGGUGUCUAUCACCGUGCCCGCCUGCGCGCGCGCGCCUGCACUGCGCAGCGCGCCCGCGUUCGGGCGAGGUUCGGGCCCUCCCACCAGCGUCCAGGCACGCCCGCCCGAUUGCCUAGGCGCGCUCGCCUGCGCCUUGGCGUGCCCUUACCGCGCGCCCAUGCCGUGCGGCAGGCUGCCAGCGCCCUGCCAAGGCCAUGCUGGGCGCCUGCAGCCUGCCAGCGCCAGGCCAUCCGUCCAGGCCGGCCCGGCCAUCCGCCCAGGCCUGCAAAGGCCAUCCUAGCCGGCCAAAGAUCAUGCCACAGCCUGCCAAGGGCCAUUCCACCUUGCAGCCAUGCCAUGGCCUGCUGCCUUGGCCUUGCAGCCCUGCCAGCCCCUGCCAGCACCAUGCCAAGCCUUGCAGCCAUGCCCAGCCACCUGCCAUUGGCCUGCCAAAGUCUUGCCACAGCCAUGCCUUGCCCAGCCUGUUGCCUUGCCCUGCCUGUUGCCUUGCCCUGCCAAGACCUGCAGCAGCCUGCCAUGGCAAGUCAGCUGCCACCAUGCCCUGCCUUGCUGCCAGCCCAGCCAAACCAUGCUGCCAGCCUUGCCAAUGCAUGCCACACCCUGCCAGCCACUGCAGAACAGCAGCCACAACCCAGCCACUGCAGCCAUGCCAAAGGGCUGCAGCCACCAUGCCAAGGCUGCAGCCUUGUGCCACAUGUCACCUAGGCCUUGGCCAUGCCUAGGCCUUAGGAAGCCAUGCCUUAGCCUCAUCUUUGGGCAGCCACAUGGGGACUUGGAAGCCUAUAAAUAAGCCAUAGAGAGGCACUAUUUGGAAUCUUAGACCUUUGAACAUUGUAGUCUCUUGUAUUUCGGCCUUAGGCUUGGGAGGGCUUUGCCCUAUUGUAUUUGGUCCUUGAGCUUGCUCUUGGACUUGGGCUAGGGGAGACCAAUCAUAGUUUCCUCUAGAUUUAUGCUUGUAGCUUCAUUUGGGAAUAGAAACCACCUCAAGCUUUCCUCUAAAUCCACUUGUGUUCUUGAGUUGUUUUCAUUCAAGACAAGGGUCGGGCCAAGCUGCAGCCAGUAGACCCGCCCCUUGCCUUGAUUCACUUGAGUGUUAAGAGUCCGCACUCUAUCCGGCGUUACCCGAAUCAGCCCUAAAUCAGCAACUUAUCAAGGAGCGCACGCGGAGCUCCUGGCAAGAGUGGUGUGGAGGCUUAGGGCCGAAAGCCUCCCUCCAUCAUUGGUGCCUUCAUUGAGAAAUUUCGUCGGAGGAAGUUCCUAGAGAAGCUCCGUCGAAGAUCUCUCUAAAGAGGUAAUGCCUUUAAACCCAAGAAAAUUUCAGAUUUGGGUUGGGUUAAGAAGCUUUACUUAUUGCACACUCUAGAAAGUGAGGUUCACUACUUAUUGCUUAUUGCACAUAUCUUAUUUGAUUAAGAGUGUGGGUGGAUACAUUAGAAGCUUAUCUUGCUUAUAAUAAAAUUCUCAAUAUAUUCUUACUUUUGCAAAAGAGGAGUGAGCAUAUUUUUUUGUAAAGAGGACGGAUUGUGCUCUAGAUUGCUCAUCAUAGGGAUGGUGCCAACGGAAAGGCUACUGGUAGUACCCGGCACUAUUUGACCCAACUAUUCGGUGUUAGGGUAUAGAGGGACGGCACAAGAGGAAGGCUACUGGUAGUACCUCGUGCCCUCCUAACUACACCGGGUAGGGAGCAAGUAGAGCAAUAACACGUUUCUCUCGGGUUGUGAGGCUUGUGUAAAUCUUUGUUGUAAUCGGAGGCGAUGGAGUGGUGUAUCUCUUGCCUUGUAUAAAGGAGGGUCGGUUCAUCCCUUGGGUGACAGCCAAAGGGGGAUUAGAGUGGCUAUUGGAGAUAAAGAAACAAUGAAGUCUGGUGCAUACUCAAACACUAGCCGGCAAGGAGUUGACCUUAUGAAGGAGAGUGAGGCUUGUUUGAAGAGGGCAAAUGAGAUCCUAUCCAAGAUUAGAAAGAAUCUUCGGGAUAGGGAAGAAAAGGUGAGGGAAAAUGAGUUCAUGAGGAUGAGAGAAGAAAGAAGAAAAGAAGAGAGAAGACAGGAGAAAGAAGUGAGGAAAAUAGAAAAAAAAAGAAGAGAAAACAAGAUAGAGAGUUGGGGGAGAGAAAGAGAAAAAGAAAAGGAGCAUAGGAGGACUCAUGGAGCCAUGUCUAGGUCGUACCGGGGGAGGUAUGAGGAAGUAAGUGAUGAUGAUGAUGGCCCUAGGCAAAACAUGAUGAAAAAUAUGAGGGAGGACAUAAGGAGCAACAAAAGGUUAAGAGGGCCCAAGAGUCAUGAAAGAGCGGAAGAGUGAUGAAGAUAGUAGCUAUGCUAUCCGCGAUGGGGAGCAUGGUUAUGGGGAAAGUAGGUGGUGAGAGGGCCAAUUGAUGAUGAUAAAACGAGAGUUAGAGAAGGCCCGAGAGUGUAUGAAGCUUGGGGCAAACCAUGCUAGUAUGAAGGAACCCAAGAAGGAGCUUUCCCAUGAUCAAAAGCUUGAAGACCGAAGAGGAGAUAUGGAGGCGAGAAAGGAGCAAAGUGUUGCUGACUAUGGGAGGGAUGCUAUGGGAGAGCCACGGCCUCAAGAGAAGGAGCCGAAAGAGCCAAAUUGUGACUCUCAAAAUUUCUGCAACAAGGACCUUACUCCCGUGCAUCCGGAGGCUACUCAAAGGGCUGAUUUUGGAACCCAUCUUGCAGCACCAAAGCCACUCCCAUUUGCUGAUGCAAUGGAGUAUGCAGCAGAGGGUCAUGAAGAAGAAAUCCAGCAUCCCGUGGCCAUGCAUGAGCAUAAAAAGUCAGCUGAAAAUUUUGCAGCUGAAAAUUCUGCAAACCCAGAAAUUUCAGCACAUUCUGCAGCCCGCACAACCACAUCUCAAGCUGAGGUAUCCCUUCAAUCUCGGGCUAUUUAUCUUCAAGAUAAUUCAAGCAUUGUGAGAGGCCUAGAAAACCAUGUUGGUGCCAUGUUUAGUGGCAGCAAGCUGCUGAUUUGUGACCAUGAGUGCAAGACCAACAUGCGGGAAAGGACGGUGAACCUUCGGCGACAAAAAUUUGGGGAAUUACUACGACGGUUCGAGUUCAAGCUUGUCUACCUCCCAAAGGGAGGAGUGGACGAGGCCGAGGAGGACAAUGACGGGGCACUUAAGGGUGCCAAAAGUAUGACGAGGAGUACAACCCAUGAAGCAUCAAGGUGGAGGGAUGUUCAAAUGCUAAACAUGGAGUAUGAGCCUUUCGACAACCACCAUGGGAUUGAUCGGUUGGAGCACAUCAUCCAAGUAGAGCUUCCCUUAUGCUCAAGAAAAGAUUGAAGGAAACGAAAGAGAUGGUAAGUGCUUAUCCAUUGGGGAAGAAGACCAAGAGAAGGAGGUUCGUGGGAGCCCUAUUGGCGGUGGCCAAUCAUCAUCCUUGAGGUCAAGGAAAUUUUUCAAGGGGGAGGGAAUGUUGCGGACCCAAGCCCGCCACACCGCCAAGAAGCCAAUUGUGGAAGACUUUGGGCCUUGAUGGUGCUAAAGGAGGGCCAAACCAUGGCCAAAGUCUUGCGCUCGCCUGCGCAUGACCAUAUGAUGAGGACCCUCCAUGAACACCGCCUUUGGGGCUCGCAACCUAGGAGGAUUCAGGGCCUAGACAAGGCCAAAGGAGAGCAUCGCCAAGCACAAGGCCCCGGCCAAACUCUUGGCUUGGAGGAGUGGCCAAGCCUUGGCCAAGCAUCCCAAGGUCGGCCAAGGCAAGGCACAGCAACCCCAAGCCACGGCAUGCCCAUGCACGGCCCAAGCCACGGCCGUGCGUGGCCACUGCACGCGCCCGCGCUUGCACCGCGCAGCGCGCCCACGUCCGGGCGAGGUUCGGGCAGGACGUGCCCGCUCGCGAGCGCCCAAGCGUGCCGCCCCGUACCAGCGCCCUGCUAGCGGCUGCCAAGGCCAUGCCGGGCGCCUGCAGCCUGCCAACGCCAUGCCGGGCGCCUGCAGCCUGCCAACGCCAUACCCUGCGCCCAGGCCUGCAAAGGCCAUCCUAGCCGGCCAAAGAUCAUGCCACAGCCUGCCAAGGGCCAUUCCACCUUGCAGCCAUGCCAUGGCCUGCUGCCUUGGCUUGCAGCCCUGCCAGGCCAUGUCCAUGGCCCUGCCAGCCCCUGCCAGCACCAUGCCAAGCCCUGCAGCCAUGCCCAGCCACCUACCAUUGGCCUGCCAAGGCCUUGCCACAGCCAUGCCUUGCCCAGCCUGCUGCCAUGCCCUGCCAAGACCUGCAGCAGCCUACCAUGGCUAAGUCAGCUGCCACCUAGAUGGCUGGCCUCUCGUAGUCACCAAUCUUGGCGCUGCUAACUUUCAUCUUUAUAAUUGUUCAUAAUAAUUGUUUGUUAUUUUAGAAUGCUCUUUACCAAGUCACUCACACAUGCAUUCGACCUUCAUAUCCUAAAUUUUUUAUUUCAAUCUACAAGUUGUUGUACUUUUCUUCCAAAAGGAUUGAGGGCUUAAUUCUAACAAUCUAAUAUCGAUGAUAGAGAUUUCAUAUGGAGGAUCCAUAUUAUUGGUUAUGAACUACAUAAUAAAAAUUAUCUCAGAACCAAAUAUCAUGUCUUUUGGAAGUCAUUUCCCUGUGCAUCAAGUAAUCCAAAAAUCUAUUAUUUCAAUAGCUCUAUGUGAUGCUUGCAUGAUUUAUAAUUUGAAGCAUUCAAAUAUACUGAAUUUUAGUACAUACAUAUUUUAUAAUAUACAGACCAUGAUCAAUGAUAUCAUUUUUUUUAAUUUACAUGCCUAUGAUAUAGUUUGCUACAUUAAUAUUAUUAUAACUGUUGGUGAUUGUACUACUUGAUGAAUGGUUAGGAGGUUUCAAAGAAACAUGAUUUUUGGUUUCUAAAUGUAUAUCAUGAUCAAUGUUAUGUAUUCUUAAUUUACAAUGUCAUCACCGACUUUGAGUUGGUAAGAUAAAAGAUCUUGAUCCUUUCAAAAGGAGAGUAGACAAACACUCAAUCUACAAUCUCACCAUUCUUCUUCUUCCAUCUCUAUCAUCAUGGUCUGCAUCUCCAUUCCAGUGGCCUCCAAUCUCUACCGUUUUGCUCUGGCCCCCACCUCUUUGGUAAAGUAAGGAUUUUUUUUUUUUUGUUUGUGAAAAAUUAAGGUAAGCCUGCCGCCGGGAUGCUCCAUAAAGGAAACCGGAUUCCCUCUUUCCGCUCCCCACCUCUUCAUCUCCGAGCGCUGGAGAUUUAAAGGGGGAGGAUCGGGGAAUCCUCAACCCUAACCCCUUUUUUUAACUCCCCAUCCUCUCUUCAAUCCGAUUCCACCCCUUAAAUCUGUCCAUCGCUUCGAGUUCUCUACGGAUCCUUCCCCGGUUGAUCCAUCCAGGUCCCUCUGCCGUUCAAUUUGGGGUUCUCUCGGUCGUAGAAGCCGUCGUUUCUUCGUUCUCUUCUCGAUUUUUCCAAUUGGAGUGGUUUUUCGGGGUAUCCUCGGAUGCGCUGCGGCUUCGGGCGAUUCUGCUCUGGCGAUGGCGGUCUAGUGAGCUCGGAUCCAAUCUCUCCUCCUCCGGCUGAAUCCCUUUGAUCGAAGGGGUUUUUCUUUUCGCGGAAGCCUCCUCUUGUAGCGGCUGGGGUCGAUCGGCGAUCUUGGGGAUUUAUCUGCGGAUUGUGGUUCUUUGCUGUUGGGAUUGCUGUUCUAUUCGUUCGGAACGUAAAGGGGUCGGCGGAGAACUCAUCUCGAGCUCUUCCUUUUUUUCUUUCCAGAAAGAUCGUUUCUUGAUGGGAUAAUAGAGCGUUAUCUACAUCAAGGAUUGCUUGUACUCAUGUCUAUGAUUUCUAUUGUUCUAGCUUGAUAUCGGGCCUGCUUUUUAGUUUUCGGCCUUUUAAAUUCAGUUUGCUGCUUUUUUCCGGCCAAUUUGUUCAUUGUGGUCGAGCUGGUCUGCAAUUAGAUCAGAGGAAGGCCGGAAAGGGGAAAAAAAAUAAUGGCUGGGUAUUAUAAGUUUAAAAGUGCAAAAGAUUACGACUCUAUUCUAAUUGAGGGUCAAUUCAUAUCUGUUGCCAAUUUGAAAGAACGAAUUUUUGAAUCCAAGCAUUUGGGAAGGGGUACCGAUUUUGACCUCAUGGUCUCCAAUGCGCAGACUAAUGAAGGUUGGUUCUUCUUCUAGACUAGGUUUUCUUGAUUGGUUUAUUUAUGCAGUUUACUUGUAGGAGGAUAGUUCAGUUCAUUCAGAAUUAAUUGUCAUCAGACUAAAAACUAAUAAAAAAAAGGAUUGAUUGGAGUAUUUUUAGAUAAUUGUGCUUGAAAAAUUAAGAGAUAAGGGGUAAUGGAGUUGGGGUGAGAUUGUGGCUACUGUUCGAUUGAUAGUGUGGCACUUCACAUGGUAAGUGUUUGGAACUGUUGCAAAGGUUCCGUAGAACCAGUAAACUAUCCUAUGAUCUCAGAUCAUCUUUUAGAUUAAUGUAGAAUCUGUUUAUCAAAAAGGGUGCAUCCUAAAGUGAGAGGUUUUGCAGUUGGUGCUUGACAAAGGAAUUCCAGUUAGUUAUAUUUGUCUGGGCCGGUAACUAUGCAAGCCAGUGAUUAUGAUCAAUCACUGGUUUUAUGAAAACCUUUCCUUUUGGUCUAUUCUGUUCCCUUAAGAAAGCUAUUUCAUUCCUUUUUUUGCCAGGAAAAAAGAAGAAGAAGAAGAAGACACGGAUGGCUGGUAAUGGUUAGUGCAUUACCUUUUUUUUGUUCUACUUUAAUCAGUGCUUCUGACAUGCAGUGGAGGGCUUAUCAAGAUUUUGGAGCUGAAAACUUUGCUGGGAUGCCUUUGGCUGCUUCGGGCUACAACCCUUACUGGGCUGGUAGUGGAAUGCCAUUUGGAGUUGAUGGAUACAUGGCAUCUUUCACUGGUCCCAUGCAAUACAUGGGUUAUACGCCUGGCCCCUUUGACGUUCCUUUUGGGGGAGGUAUUCUUCCACAAGAUCCAUUUACUGCACAAAGUUCUAUGAUGCCAGUAGUUCCGAGGGAUCUGUCCGAUUUAGGCAUCGUGGGUAUGAACCAGGGGCAUGGAUAUUUGACCAGGGAAGAAUUUGAGGCUAAGAAAGCUGAUCUAAGAUGGAAGUGUGAAAUGGACCGACUCAAUGAAAGGGAGAGGGAGCGCUCCAAGGAUAGGGAGCCCAGAAGGGAACCAAAUGGAACCAAUGGCGUUUCUUCAUUGAAGUUGAAGCCCGUCCGUCUUCUUUUGUUGAUUCAUUUGCUUAUUCAUUUUUGUACUCUGGGUGUCAUCGUAUCAGCAUUAGAGCCUGAGUUGCGGCAGCUCCGGAUGAUGAUAGGGGGAAUAGGGUUAUCAAGAAAAGGGGAUUUCCCAAGGAGAUCUGAGACCCCAAUCAAUAUAAGCAUUAGCAGAAGAUGCAAUUCUUCAGCAUUAGUACUUUCAGGAGGGAUUCAUUUCUCGCCAGAAUAGGGCAUUUCGAAGUUGUUAUUGGUCUUGGUCUGGUGUAAGAUGUGGAUUCAUCUUUGGGCUAGUGCCGGCUUGUGAUUCAUCCCUCGAAAUCCCUAGAUUUAUCGAGUCGUUCUCGGUGCACUCAUGCGAGACAUGUAUGCUCACUGGAUCAUGGUCAUCACCAAGCUGACCAUGGUCUUGGCACCUUUUGGCUACCCAUUUUUAUUAUUUGGAAACUGGUCUUCAGGCAGCUAUAGCAAGUUAUUCUCCUAAAGAUGGGCUGGUUUUUGUGGAUGCAGCGAGAAUGUACGGCUCCUUUCUAUUA